UACGGAGGGGACUAGCGUUGUUCGGAAUUACUGGGCGUAAAGCGCACGUAGGCGGAUUUGUAAGUCAGGGGUGAAGUCCCGGGGCUCAACCUCGGAGCUGCCUUUGAUACUGCAAAUCUCGAGUCCGGAAGAGGUGAGUGGAAUUCCUAGUGUAGAGGUGAAAUUCGUAGAUAUUAGGAAGAACACCCGUGGCGAAGGCGGCUCUCUGGGACGGUACUGACGCUGAGACGCGAAAGCGUGGGGAGCGAACAGG
rnacentral:rRNA from 1 species